rnacentral:rRNA from 1 species
AACCUCGGAGCUUGCUCCGGGGGGACAGUGGCGAACGGGUGAGUAACACGUGAGGAACCUGCCCCGAAGACCGGGAUAACACCGGGAAACCGGUGCUAAUACCGGAUGCCCUCAUCGGACCGCAUGAUUCGAUGAGGAAAUGGAUUCCGCUUCGGGAUGGCCUCGCGGCCUAUCAGCUUGUUGGUGGGGUAACGGCCCACCAAGGCUUCGACGGGUAGCUGGUCUGAGAGGAUGUCCAGCCACACUGGGACUGAGACACGGCCCAGACUCCUACGGGAGGCAGCAGUGGGGAAUCUUGCGCAAUGGGCGAAAGCCUGACGCAGCGAUGCCGCGUGCGGGAUGAAGGCCUUCGGGUUGUAAACCGCUUUCAGCAGGGACGAAAUUGACGGUACCUGCAGAAGAAGCCCCGGCCAACUACGUGCCAGCAGCCGCGGUAAUACGUAGGGGGCGAGCGUUGUCCGGAUUUAUUGGGCGUAAAGAGCUCGUAGGCGGUUCGGUAAGUCGGAUGUGAAAUCUCCAUGCUCAACAUGGAGGGGCCAUUCGAUACUGCCGUGACUCGAGUCCGGUAGGGGAGUGUGGAAUUCCCGGUGUAGCGGUGAAAUGCGCAGAGAUCGGGAGGAACACCCGUAGCGAAGGCGGCACUCUGGGCCGGUACUGACGCUGA